rnacentral:rRNA from 1 species
GACGAACGCUGGCGGCGUACCUAAUACAUGCAAGUCGAGCGGACUUUCAAGAAGCUUGCUUUUUGAAAGUUAGCGGCGGACGGGUGAGUAACACGUGGGCAACCUGCCUGUAAGACGGGGAUAACUCCGGGAAACCGGGGCUAAUACCGGAUAAUAUCUUUCUUCGCAUGAAGGAAGGUUGAAAGGCGGCGCAAGCUGACGCUUGCAGAUGGGCCGGGGGCGCAUUAGCUAGUUGGUGAGGUAACGGCUCACCAAGGCGACGAUGCGUAGCCGACCUGAGAGGGUGAUCGGCCACACUGGGACUGAGACGCGGCCCAGACUCCUACGGGAGGCAGCAGUAGGGAAUCUUCCGCAAUGGACGAAAGUCUGACGGAGCAACGCCGCGUGAGCGAAGAAGGUCUUCGGAUCGUAAAGCUCUGUUGUCAGGGAAGAACAAGUACCGUUCGAAUAGGGCGGUACCUUGACGGUACCUGACCAGAAAGCCACGGCUAACUACGUGCCAGCCGCCGCAGUAA